CCUACGGGAGGCAGCAGUGGGGAAUAUUGCACAAUGGGCGAAAGCCUGACGCAGCAACGCCGCGUGAGGUAAGAAGGCUUUCGGGUUGUAAACUUCUUUUGACAGUGGAGAGCAGAAGACGGUACCUGUCGAAUAAGCCACUGCUAACUACGGGCAAGCAGCCGCGGUAAUACGUAGGUGGCAAGCGUUGUCCGGAUGUACUGUGUGGAAAGGGCGUGUAGCCGGGCUGACAAGUCAGAUGUGAAAUCCGGGGGCUCAACGCCCGAACUGCAUUUGAAACGGUUGGUCUUGAGUAUGGGAGAGGCGGGCGGAAUUCCUGGUGUAGCGGUGAAAUGCGUAGAUAUUAGGAGGAACACCGGUGGCGAAGGCGGCCUGCUGGACGACAACUGACGGUGAGGCGCGAAAGCGUGGGGAGCAAACAGGAUUAGAUACCCUGGUAGUC
rnacentral:rRNA from 1 species